AGCAGCGAUCGCAAAGUAAUUCAUAACAAGUGUUUUUUUUUGUUGCGAAUAUUACGUGUUCUGCUACAUUUUAUUUGAAAAUAUGUCAAUAAUACGUGAGCGGCCCGACUGCGAAGGAAAACAUAUCCCACAAAUUAUCAUCCCAUCGAUCCCCAAGGGAUGUGGCUAUUCGGAAGAAACGGCUUCGAUUCCUUGGACAGAACCUAAACAGCAAUACUCAACACAUAUACAUUUGCUCGCUUCACUUCAGUCCAGAUUGUUUCAUUCAUAUCGAUGGCUUGGAAGUACAAUAUCGUCGAAAACUGAUACAUACAUCUGUUCCUACUGCCAGAAAGGCCAACGAUUCUCAUGCCUCGGGAAAUCAAAACGGACGGCUCGCCGAAAGGUCUUGAUUGACAUUAAGCAAGAGUAAAAAAUCCUAAAUCAUUCAUAAUAUCCGCGGAGUUGGUCCAGUUUUCUAAUUGGACGAAACAUGACUAUCCCGAGAGGGAUAUUCCAUCAAAUGAAAUCAGGAGCAGAACUAUCAACAUCUCUAAUGAAAAACCUAGUGAUUCUGCUAGUUCUGCAAGCUUAAUUCAAGCACUGCAGUAGGAGGUAUCGGAGAGCUACAGAGAACUUCAGGAAGCUAAACUCUGAAUUAUCGAACCACAAUUUCCCCUAGGUUUUGAUCUAAAUAGAUUA